rnacentral:lncRNA from 1 species
CAUACCAGUCUAGUUUCAGCUCAACCACUAACUCCUUCCAUUAAUACUGAAGCAAUGUUGUCUAUAAGGCUCCACAAAUUUCAAAGUACUAAUAAUUUUUAGCCCCUUUCAUGCCUCCUUUCCAGCCUUUCUGGAGGUGAAUAAAGUCAGAAAGUGCAUUCAAAAGGCUGUGAACACCUCCAGCUUAUCUAGGUCUUCUUACUGGAGCUGACAGCCAAUGAGUGUAAUGAUACAAAAAAGGUAACAAUCCAUUUCUUUUUCUCCUGCCAUCCCCAACUCAGACUCUGUUAAUCAGCUUGCUUGGCUGGCCUCCAACCAUAGGUCCAGGGGCUGAGACAAGGUCCUUUUGAGCUCCUAUGUGGGAGGCUCUGGAAAGCUUAGCAACACUUUCCAACAACUUUGCCAGGGUCACAUCUCCCAGGAAGAUCUCACUUCCCCACAGAAGCUCUUGGCCUGGCCUCCUGCAGUGCCACGCUCCGUGUAUUUGACAAGCUGAGUUGGACACUCCAUGUGGUAGAGUGUCAGUUUGUCAAAUACCCCAAGUGCGGCACAUGCUUACCAGCUCUAGGCCAGGGCAGAUGGGAUAUGACGAAUGGACUGCCAGCUGGAUACAAGGAUGCUCACCAAGCACCAAGUUCUCACAAGUUAUUUUAUGUGACUUUGCAGGAACUGAGGCAUUAUAUCUGAGGACACCAGGGGAAAAGUGUGGCAUCUCAGGGAAAUACAGCCCUGGGCUGUGUCUACACACACCAUGAGAGUGCUGAUGGGGGCGCAAUAGUCUUGAAAAUGUAUAAAGUGUCCAGGAAUGGAAGUGCUCUUUGAUUCAUUAUUAUUUUCUUCCUUCAUAUUCCCCUCCCAGAGUCUCCUAUCUAGGACAUCAGCAUUCUCACACAAGCCUAAUGGCUUAUCUGAGUAAGCAGGGCUUAGAAAUUCACUUUCUUGAUACUCAGUCUUGCCUUCUAAACACUCCUUGAUCUUGCCUACCUCUCCCCUUUUCCACAUGUCUUUUCCUGUAGGAACACUUUCUCCAUUUAUUCCUGCCUAUCCAAUUCUUCCCUAUAUUUCCUGGACCAGCUAAAGUCCAGUGUUUCCAGAGACUUUUGAAAGUCAACUUACACUUUUUCCUUCUUCAUUCACAAAGCUCUUCUUCCCUGGGCCCUGGUAUGUAUGCCUUUCUCUCCUACUGUCUAAUAGCACCUCGUAAAUUGUCAAUGAACUUUUCUAAGGGGUAUUCUUGAAUUCCCAACUAGAUUGUGAGCUUCUGGAAGACAAGGCUAUGUCUUUGAUUGUUGUCUCCCCUACCACAGCCCAGUACUUUAGUUACAGAAAAUAAUAAAUAUUUACUGAUUGAUUGACUUUCCUCUUGUCCACUAGCUUUAGGUUUGGGGGCCAAAUUCUACCCUGGAUUUUGAAAAAUUCAAACUGUGAACACCACAAUGUUAUAGAGCAUAUGAGGUAGUAGCCAGCAUGAAGGAUGUUUUCUUCCUGAGAAACAGUGUCAAGGGCUGGAGGAAGAGGGCAAAAUAGCAGACUCAGAGGGCAAAUAAAUUUUGGUAUUACUUGGUCACACAAGGUUAUACAGGUGUUUUCUUGUAGGAUUUUUCAGAGCCUUUAAUAGUCUAAUGUUGCAUUGAGAAUCUCAAAGAGGAAACCAUAGAAUGAGGCAUUUGCCAUACCUAUCUGAUCAUGAAUUUUCUUUUCCCCCACAGCCUUCUCCUGUGUCAAUGUCCAAUGAAGCACGAUUUGGGAAACUGUCCUAGAGAAACUUUAUACCUUCCCGCUCUUCUGGAGAUCUUUUCCUCUUUUCAUUCAUCUACUUUCCCCAACCAGCCAUCUGCCUAAGAAAGGUCACAUGUUAUCAUCUCAUUUUUGUUUAGCCUCUGCAGCUGUGGACUAUCUUUAUUACAUAGGAAUUCUUUACUAGCUUGUCCUGUAUUUAAAAAUAUUCUAAGUUUUGAGGCAAAGAAGAUCCAGAUGCUGCAAUAAAUAUAUGCACUGAGGAGUUCA